UACGUAGGGGGCAAGCGUUGUCCGGAAUCAUUGGGCGUAAAGCGCGUGUAGGCGGCCCGGUAAGUCCGCUGUGAAAGUCGGGGGCUCAACCCUCGAAUGCCGGUGGAUACUGUCGGGCUAGAGUGCGGGAGAGGCGAGUGGAAUUCCUGGUGUAGCGGUGAAAUGCGCAGAUAUCAGGAGGAACACCAAUUGCGAAGGCAGCUCGCUGGAACGUAACUGACGCUGAGACGCGAAAGCCAGGGGAGCGAACGGG
rnacentral:rRNA from 1 species